CCUGGCGGCUUUAGCGCGGUGGUCCCACCUGACCCCAUGCCGAACUCAGAAGUGAAACGCCGUAGCGCCGAUGGUAGUGUGGGGUCUCCCCAUGCGAGAGUAGGGAACUGCCAGGCAU
rnacentral:rRNA from 1 species